CCCCCUGCUGGCCCAGGGUGAGAACUUCAGUACAUAACAGUUACCUACAGUGGAAGUCCCCAGACAGGCCGAGUGAUCAUUGCUGAGUGAUGACCAGUGUCACCAUCUUCAUGAAGCAUCCAUAUAACCCUGUUAAAAAAACAACACCUUCAGUGUCUUGGAUUGGGAACAGGAACUAAGAGGAGCCAAUGGCUAAGGAAAUGCAUGUUAGGAACAAAACUAGAGUCUCAGCAGAAAGUCCUGCAACCAAUUUCCAGGUUUGUGUGUAGUUUUCUUUCCUCUGUAGUAGGUUUGUGAGAUAAAGAAUGCCAGCCAGCUGGUCUCUCGGCCAGCAGCAGAAGCUGACUGGCUCUGGACUCUCUGCACUGAGGGAUGAGUCGCACUUAGAGACAGGCUAGCUGGGAGAGCUCAGGUGGAAGGAAGCGCUGAAGCUCAGUGGUAGAGAAUAUGUUUUCUUUUUAUGCAGAAGGUCCCAGGUUCCAAUCCCAGGCAUCUCUAGAUAGUUCUAGGAAUGUCCCCUUUCUGAACCCUGUAUAACUGCCUGUCAGUGCAGGCAAUGCUGAGGUAGAUAGAUGAAUGAUCUGAUUCAGUAGAAUACAUCUUCCAGUGUUCCUAUGAUCCCAUGAGGUGAGUGCAUUCACAGUAUUCAGAGACUCCACAAUAGGGAUGGGCAAAUAGGUCAGUUUCUGUUUCUCAUUUUCCAGCCUUAAAUUUGCCUCCCCACACUUCCACAUCUGUUUGUGAAUUUUUAAAAACUAGUUCUCAUAAAUAAAGUAUCAUCUUAUUGUGAAUUUCUCCUAAUAUCCUUUUUUUGGGGGGUAUGCAAUAUUGCCUAAUACAGUGGUACCUCGGGUUACAUACGCUUCAGGUUACAUACGCUUCAGGUUACAGACUCCGCUAACCCAGAAAUAUUACCUCAGGUUAAGAACUUUGCUUCAGGAUGAGAACAGAAAUCGUGCUCCGGCGGCGCGACAGCAGCAGGAGGCCCCAUUAGCUAAAGUGGUGCUUCAGGUUGAGAACAGUUUCAGGUUAAGAACGGACCUCCAGAAUGAAUUAAGUAACCCGAGGUACCACUGUAUCCAGAGUUAGAUCCUGCAUUUAAAUUAACAAAUAGAAGUGGUAAUAGGCAGAGGCAGAGGCAUAAGUACUGAUUUAAGGCUUUCUUGCCAAGGGAUAUUGUUUAAUCUUGGACCUUGGUAGGUAUCCUUUUAGAAAUGAGGCACUGGUUGUUGUUUUUUGGAACGUGGAAUUGUCUUAGUUAUUGGCGUGCAUUUAUUUUCACUUAGGAAGGCAUGCCAUGAGUUGCUAUACUAGAAAAGCGAAAUCUGAAGUAACCUCAAUUGUUCUGGGACAACAACAACAAGAAAAGAUUGCGCCACAAAUUAAAUAAUAAAAAAGUUAAUGUUUUAAACAGAAAAUCUCAUUAAAAAUAAACAAAUUAUUGCUGG